ensembl:lncRNA
AUGGUCCAGAUGUCGCUGACAAAGGAGGAGUACAGCUGGUUUUCCGACUUCCUCAAAUUCAAGCACUGUCUCUUAGGGGGAAAGAAGGCCCAGCACUUCUUUUUCAAUUCAACAAACACUCAGAUGAAGAACCUGCCUGCCUACCUGAGGGAGGUGUGGAAGGAGAUGGGUCUGCCCGAAUGUCCUUCAUUCACUGACCUGAGGACCUCCAUUGUCACUCAUGUGAAAAACAUGCUCCCAAAGGUUGACAGGGAAAGGGUGGCCAACUUCAUGUGCCACAACAUCCAGACGGCAGACAAAUAUUAUGCCAUGAAUUUAAAUCCAACCCAAGCAAAUGAAACCAGGGCACUCUUUGAGGCUGCACUGAAGGGGGAAGAUAACACAGUCGCCGCAGAGAACCAGCCCUCCACCUCAGGAGAAAGAAAGCAGAAGGUGAGAGAGGAUGCCUCCCUCUCCGACGGGAGCACCACCCCUGAAGAGACCAAGGUGAUGUACCAGGAGUCUGGCACGUCCGCCGGUGACUCGGAAGAGGAGGAAGAGGAUGAAGAUGAGGAACAGAUGGCCAGACAACUUCCAGAGACACCUUCCAAGGUGACCAAUCCUCAGGUGGAGAUGGAACUUACCCCAAAGAGGAAGCGGAGCAUCUGCACACGCCGCAUGGAGGUCGCCAUCAGCCCCAUGCUAGUCUCACCCCUCAAAGUGAGGCUCAAGUCGCCCCCCCACCAGUCCCUCAUUGUCACAUUAAAAGGGAUGCAACAACUAAACUCAAAUAAAGUCAGACUAAAAAAUGCCAUUGCCUCAAGGAGGUUAAAGCUGCAGGAGAAGGUGCAAAAGACAGGAGGGGACCCCUGAUGCAGCUCGAAGGAAGGGGAGCCGACCAACAACAAGACUUCCUCUUCCAAAUAGUCAUGUAGAUUGUUUUAGACUCUCACAUUUAUACUGUUCUGAUUUUGUUUGGUUUGAUUUUCAAUUUUGGUGUGCUUGUUUACAUUUUAGAAGUGUAAAAUGUGUGUAAUUUAGUCUAACUGUCUGUUCAAUUUUCUAUUUUGGUGUGAUUCUUUAUAAUGUAAAGGUUUGUUCUGUUUUAUUAAAUAACUAGUUUAGUAAUUAUUUGUGUUGUGCUUUCUUUAAGGUUAUAUUCUAACUGUCUGUUCAAUUUUCUAUUUUGGUGUGAUUCUUUAUAAUGUAAAGGUUUGUUCUGUUUUAUUAAAUAACUAGUUGAGUAAUUCUUUGUGUUGUGCUUUCUUUAAGGUUUAUAUUUAGUUUGUCACUUAAUUUGUAAGUGUUAAACAUUCACUGUCUUGUGUUGUUGUCUGUGAAGGUAGGAACAAAUAUUUAGGCAUUAUUGGCAUGGGAAUCAUAUGUUUACAUUGGCAAAGCAAAUUAAGUAGAUAAUAAACAAAAGUGAAAUAAACAAUAAAGUCCUGCUGUAGACUGUACUACUGCUGUUCAGGAAGCACAAUUUGAACUAGAAACUUACACAGACAGGCUGAAAUAAACACUAAAAAAUAACAAAUGGCAUCACCGUAAUAUCCCGCUUGACCGUAGCUCGCUCGGUCUGAGCGCAGCGACCAUGAGAAAAGUAAGCCCAAAAUGAAGCCUGCCCCACAACGUCAUUUGCUUUUGGGUGACAGUGAGAGAACCGUUAGGUUUAGAAGGACAAUUCAACCACAGGAAUGUUCCUAACGUCCUUCCGAUCCAUGCAAGCCUUACCUUGACCGUGUGGCAUCAACCCUUAAAAAUAAAACAGGGUUUUUUGAUCUCACAGAUUACAAUGACAUCUCUCCCCAUAGGAAUACAUUGACAGCUCCCCUAAAUUCAACCUGGAGCCUAUGUGGGUUAAUAAUGCCUUAUGAACCUGUCUUCAAUGCCAAUCCAUCAGGCCACUAUGAGGUCUACCUGUGUCGAUUCUAAGCUUCCUGGAGCAACCGGAAGUGGUUAAAUUCACCCAAAAUGUAUUUUGAUGUACAUAACCUGCAAAUGUGAAAAUGACUGCAUUCAACCCUGGGUAGAUCAGUCAAUUCUUAACAUAAAGACUUUAGGAUUCUCAGGAUUCUGUAAGAGAAUACCCAAAGCAAGAUAUUUGUUUACCUAUAGCUUCCUGUGCCAACCGGAAGUGCCUUUAAUUGGUGUCUCAGGGGCUUCUCCUUAGGAGGGAUGGGGACACCACCACGGGACAGACCCCACACUCAUCGCUAGAGAUCGAACUUCAGACUCCCUUCAAAACCACUGAACCCCUCAACACACCGAAAGAGAUUACGGUGCACACCCUUAGAGGGAGCCGGAACAGGAUAACUCCCUCCACCAUCACAGAGACACAGAGGAGGAGGAACUAUCCAACACCCAGGGAGAGAGAACAAGUGACGUCAGUCGAACACAGUCAGAAAGAGGAGGUGGAAGAGGCGUUAGAUAGAGGAGGAUAUUACCCCAGAGGCCAUUCCUCCUGUUCAUGUGAGCAAGAAAGAGCAGAAGGCUUCUGAUCAGCCAAAUGGCAGGCAGAGGGAGAGGUCAUAGUGAUUCACACCCACAGAGAGAAAGACAACCCACACAACCUCUUGGUUGAGAUGAACCACACAGGUAGAGGCAGAGGGCCUUCAGGGCUAGCCAGUCAGCCUGCCUGCUCUGAUCCUCAAGUCAAUUGUAUAUAAAUUCAUGUUCAUUAAAGAUUUUUAUUCAAGAAUUGACAAGUCCCAUUUCGUUAAAGGGGUCACCCUUUUCCUGCUACAAACACAACUUGCAUAUCAUCACAGACUAGGCCAAAACGUUAAUCUUUUAACCUUGCCUGAAUAAAACAAUGCAUUUUUUAUAGUGAGCAAGAGUUGCUCCUUUUCCUUUUCUAUGAUGAUUCAAAUAUUUGGU